rnacentral:rRNA from 1 species
GACGAACGCUGGCGGCGUGCUUAACACAUGCAAGUCGAACGCUGAAGCUCAGCUUGCUGGGUGGAUGAGUGGCGAACGGGUGAGUAACACGUGAGUAACCUGCCCUCUUCUUUGGGAUAACGCCCGGAAACGGGUGCUAAUACUGGAUAUUCACUGAUUCUCGCAUGGGGGUUGGUGGAAAGGUUUUUUCUGGUGGGGGAUGGGCUCGCGGCCUAUCAGCUUGUUGGUGGGGUGAUGGCCUACCAAGGCUUUGACGGGUAGCCGGCCUGAGAGGGUGACCGGUCACAUUGGGACUGAGAUACGGCCCAGACUCCUACGGGAGGUAGCAGUGGGGAAUAUUGCACAAUGGGCGAAAGCCUGAUGCAGCGACGCCGCGUGAGGGAUGGAGGCCUUCGGGUUGUAAACCUCUUUCGCUCAUGGUCAAGCCGCAGCUUUGGGUUGUGGUGAGGGUAGUGGGUAAAGAAGCGCCGGCUAACUACGUG